rnacentral:rRNA from 1 species
CCCUUAGAUGUUCUGGGCUGCACGCGCGCUACACUGAUGCAUGCAACGAGUUUUCGACCUUGCCUGAAAAGGUUGGGUAAUCUGUUUAACAUGUGUCGUGAUGGGGAUAGACCAUUGCAAUUAUUGAUCUUCAACGAGGAAUUCCUAGUAAGCGCGAGUCAUCAGCUCGUGCUGAUUAUGUCCCUGCCCUUUGUACACACCGCCCGUCGCACCUACCGAUUGAAUGAUUCGGUGAAGCUUUCGGACUACGACUUUGUUGGUUUAUUCUGACGCUGUUGUGGGAAGUUAUCUAAACCUCAUCAUUUAGAGGAAGGUGAAGUCGUAACA